GACUGUCCGUGCGUGUGCGUCUUUGGCCCGGGGCCGUGUGCUUGCGUGAAGACACCGGCGUCAGGGGCGGGGGAGUACGGUAUCGCGCAAGGCUUGCAGGGCAGGGCACGACCACGCGGGCACCCGGGCCACGAGUGCAGGUCA
rnacentral:SRP_RNA from 1 species